rnacentral:lncRNA from 1 species
UUGUGUGGAUCGAUGUGUUGUUGAUCAGUCUUGCGGCUUUGUGUUGCUGUUGCCUUAUUGACGAGUGUUGCUGCGACCCCUCUGUCCUCUUCAUCUUCUGAAUCAUCAUCGUUACCAAUGAUAUGCAGAUCGAUUAGUUCAAUGAUAUAUCCCUGCGUACAUAUGCUUGGAUUAGUUCAAUUCCUCCUAUUUAUGUAAUGUGAGAUCUUGCUUGAUAUUGAUUUCUCGUAGUUUUUUAUGUACAAGACUCCUUAAUUAUUAAUCGUCUCCAUUGUCCCUGUA